UACGAAGGGUGCAAGCGUUACUCGGAAUUACUGGGCGUAAAGCGUGCGUAGGUGGUUCGUUAAGUCUGAUGUGAAAUCCCCGGGCUUAACCUGGGAAUGGCAUUCGGGACUGCAAGGCUGGAGUGCGGCAGAGGAGACUGGAAUUCCUGGUGUAGCAGUGAAAUGCGUAGAUAUCAGGAGGAACACCGAUGGCGAAGGCAGGUCUCUGGGCUGACACUGACGCUCAUGCACGAAAGCGUGGGGAGCAAACAGG
rnacentral:rRNA from 1 species